rnacentral:rRNA from 1 species
CCUACGGGGUGCUGCAGUGGGGAAUAUUGGACAAUGGGCGAAAGCCUGAUCCAGCCAUGCCGCGUGUGUGAAGAAGGCCUUCGGGUUGUAAAGCACUUUCAGUGGGGAAGAAAGCCUUGGGGCUAAUACCCUCGAGGAAGGACAUCACCCACAGAAGAAGCACCGGCUAACUCCGUGCCAGCAGCCGCGGUAAUACGGAGGGUGCGAGCGUUAAUCGGAAUUACUGGGCGUAAAGCGCGCGUAGGCGGUCUGAUAAGCCGGUUGGGAAAGCCCCGGGCUCAACCUGGGAACGGCAUCCGGAACUGUCAGGCUAGAGUGCAGGAGAGGAAGGUAGAAUUCCCGGUGUAGCGGUGAAAUGCGUAGAGAUCGGGAGGAAUACCAGUGGCGAAGGCGGCCUUCUGGACUGACACUGACGCUGAGGUGCGAAAGCGUGGGUAGCAAACAGGAUUAGAUACCCGGGUAGUC